rnacentral:rRNA from 1 species
AGAGUUUGAUCAUGGCUCAGAUUGAACGCUGGCGGCAGGCCUAACACAUGCAAGUCGAGCGGCAGCGACUUAACUGAACCUUCGGGGAACGUUAAGGGCGGCGAGCGGCGGACGGGUGAGUAAUGCCUGGGAAUAUGCCCUGAUGUGGGGGAUAACUAUUGGAAACGAUAGCUAAUACCGCAUAAUCUCUUCGGAGCAAAGAGGGGGACCUUCGGGCCUCUCGCGUCAGGAUUAGCCCAGGUGGGAUUAGCUUGUUGGUGAGGUAAUGGCUCACCAAGGCAACGAUCCCUAGCUGGUCUGAGAGGAUGAUCAGCCACACUGGAACUGAGACACGGUCCAGACUCCUACGGGAGGCAGCAGUGGGGAAUAUUGCACAAUGGGGGAAACCCUGAUGCAGCCAUGCCGCGUGUGUGAAGAAGGCCUUCGGGUUGUAAAGCACUUUCAGUAGGGAGGAAGGUAGUGUAGUUAACACCUGCAUUAUUUGACGUUACCUACAGAAGAAGCACCGGCUAACUCCGUGCCAGCAGCCGCGGUAAUACGGAGGGUGCGAGCGUUAAUCGGAAUUACUGGGCGUAAAGCGCAUGCAGGCGGCCUGUUAAGUCAGAUGUGAAAGCCCGGGGCUUAACCUCGGAAUUGCAUU